GCCUCUCUAGUAUAGUGGUUAGUACAUCCGCUUGUGGUUUGUAUCGAUCAUGGCAUCGACAAUUGUAACGCGGAUAACCCAUGUUCGAUUCAUGGGGGGGGCA
rnacentral:tRNA from 1 species